GCCUGCACUCUGGAACCGGCGAAGCCCAGCGGGCUAGAGCUCUCUGCACCCGGUACUCUUGGCCCGACCCGGCCCCUGAACAGUUUCCCGGCCUGCCUGCAGGGGGCGGAGAGGAGGCGAUCGGGGCUGAGAGGAUGAACAGCUCUGAAGAUCAACAAACCUUGGUCUUCCCUUUGCUUUGAGGGCCAGGGGCUGGUUUCUAAGACAGGGUGUGAAUUCCCGCCCAACCCUCGCCCCUACUUCGCCCCUGAAAACCUAAAUCGUGUAGGUUAGAGUGGGAGACCUCGCCUCUCCACAGGGCUGGUGUUGACUACAGCAAGAGACCCAUCCAAGUCCAAAAGCCAAUUGUGUAUUUACAGCAUGGUCUGCUUGUAACUGCCAGUAUCUGGAUUUCCAAUCUUUCCAACAGUAGCCUGGGCUUCAUUCUGGCAGAUGCUGGUUAUGAUGUGUGGAUGGGAAACAGCAGGGGAAAUAAGUGGUCCAGGAAACAUAUGUACCUAGAAACAGAUUCCAAAGAAUUCUGGGCCUUCAGAGUGAGAUGAUUUCCUACUGGGGUUACCCAAGUGAAAUGCAUGAAGUUUUAACUGAAGAUGGUUACAUCCUUCCCCUGCACCAGAUUCCUCAUGGGAAGAAUGAUGCUAAUCAUUUAGAUAGGAUUGGAGUGAGUUGGAAAAUGAAAGCCUUCAAGUCCCAAAUCAAAUAUA